UAAAGAGGAACUUCCGCUAAGGGGCGUGCAUGUCCUGUGGCCCCGCGGAAGUCACCACAUCCUGCGGA
rnacentral:sRNA from 1 species